UGGGGAAUAUUGCACAAUGGACGGAAGUCUGAUGCAGCAACGCCGCGUGCGGGAUGACGGCCUUCGGGUUGUAAACCGCUUUUUCUCAUGACGAAGUUUUUUGACGGUAGUGGGGGAAGAAGCACCGGCUAACUACGUGCCAGCAGCCGCGGUGAUACGUAGGGUGCGAGCGUUGUCCGGAAUUAUUGGGCGUAAAGAGCUUGUAGGCGGUUUGUCGCGUCGAUAGUGCAAACUCAGUGCUUAACGCUGAGCCUGCUGUUGAUACGGGCAGACUAGAGGAAGGUAGGGGAGAAUGGAAUUCCCGGUGGAGCGGUGGAAUGCGCAGAUAUCGGGAGGAACACCAGUGGCGAAGGCGGUUCUCUGGACCUUUCCUGACGCUGAGAAGCGAAAGCGUGGGUAGCAAACAGG
rnacentral:rRNA from 1 species